rnacentral:rRNA from 1 species
ACUCCUACGGGAGGCAGCAGUGGGAAUCUUGGACAAUGGGGCACCCGUAGCAUCCAGCCAUGCCGCGUGAGUGAUGAAGGCCUUAGGGUCGUAAAGCUCUUUCGCCUGUGAUGAUAAUGACAGUAGCAGGUAAAGAAACCCGCCGUAUAUCCGUGCCAGCAGCCGCGGUAAUACGGAGGGGUUAGCGUUGUUCGGAAUUACUGGGCGUAAAGCGCGCGUAGCGGAUUAGUCAGUUAGAGGUGAAAUCCCAGGGCUCAACCCUGGAACUGCCUUUAAUACUGCUAGUCUUGAGUUCGAGAGAGGUGAGUGGAAUUCCGAGUGUAGAGUGAAAUUCGUAGAUAUUCGGAGGAACACCAGUGGCGAAGGC